UUAUAACAAAAGCCAAAAUGAAUUCUGUACAUUGUAACUUUAUAGCGUGUGUAAUUCACUGUAAGUAUAUAGGUUUAUAUAGAUAUAAACACUGACAGUAUAUUAUAUACGAUACAAGCUGCUGAUUACUAGAGUUAUAAAUCAUGGGUUCAUUUUCCUAUAAUUCUCUCUGCACCUUUAGCAUCGUUUAGUAGGUAAGAAUCUGAAAUCUGCCAGAGCCAUUAUAUACACAAAUACACACAUAUAUAUGUGUGCGCGUGUGUGUGUGUCCUGGCCACCGUGGAGCAAUGCGAGAAGCAAGCCGGUUGUGCUUUGUGUCAAGGAGGCUUAUGUUGUAGCAAAUGGGGUUGGUGUGGCUCCACUGACGAUUAAUGCCUCAAGGAAAAAUGCCAAAGUAAUCGCACCAGAGAUGACAUUGGCAGUGGUGGCGGUGGUCGAGAAACUGGUGGUGCAGUUGUAGAAAACGAUCCUAGCUGCUAUGCUGAUAACUUCUACACCUAUGAUGGUUUCUUAGCAGCCACUUUCCGGCAACCGGUGAUGAUGAGGCACGGGAAAGGGAAGUUGCUGCUUUCUUAGGCCAAACUUCCCACAAAACUACUGGUGGAUGGGACACCACACACGGUGAUUGGAUAUUGCUAUAACUAGGAAAUAGGUUGCCCUGCUGGUUAUUGCAACGAAGACUCUAAUUACCCCGGUGGCCGAGGUCCCAUGCAACUUUCAUGGAAUUAUAUAACUAUGGCCAGUUUGGCGAAUCCAUAGGACGAAAGGACAAGCUUUUACGACACCUUGACCUGCUAAAAACGAAUGUUACCAUGUCCUUUGAGUCUGCUCUCUGGUUCUAGAUGACAACUGCAAUCAUGGAAGCCUUCUUGCCACGAUGUGAUUGUCGGAAUUUGGCAAGGUGACGGAGAAGGUGAACUUCAGGGGUAUGGUGUGAUCACGAAUAUUAUCAAUGGCGGCUUGGAAUGCGGUCAAGGUGGUCCGGACAAUAGGGUAGAGGAUCGCGCGCAUUGGGUUCUAUAAUUAUGCAUAAUAUUACGUGAUAAUAUUCUAUGACAUCAAUUAUGCAUACUAUUAUAUGAUAAUUGUUGAGAGGGCUGAUUCUUUCAAGGGAAAUUGAGAAAUUGAGAAAUUUUCGAAAUUUCAUUCGCUGAGCAGCUGAUCGAACUUCCAUCGAACUUCCAGCAAUGGAAGGUAUUUUGUUUCCCGUGUUCCUUAAGAGAUUGCUUGAAGAUGCCUAAUCUUAUAAUCAGAAGCGUACGUCAAUUGGUGAUAUAACUUGCCAGGCUGAUGAGAGAGGUGUCAGUGAGGGGCAUAACGUUAAUUAAGAAAAUCACCUAACCUACGAAUUCCUUUUAGUUUUGCUAUAGUUCACACGUCUUGGAGGGGUCUCUUUAGAAGGUCAAAAGUGUUAUUUUUCAUUUUAGGGAGCCUUACCUUGACUUUGCUAGCCUCCCAGUGUUGUCCCCAUUGAUGAGACAAUGGAGCGAUAAAGUAUAAUUUGUUUGACGUAUAAAUUUAUCAUUUGAUGAACAUGAUUAAUUGGAGUUUACGAGAGCUUGACCAAAAUAGUAAAA